CUCAUCUCAACUGCCAGGGUCGGUGCUUGAUGAGCUCUGCUUUACAAAAUGGAUUGGUAAAAUUAUAAAUGUAAGCUGCUUUAAUGGUUCAAAGGCUUGACUGCUUGUUUUGCGAUAUACUACUCGUUAACGAGUACCGAAAUUCAUUUCCAGCCAGGACAUUGGAGUCACUCACUACCUGAACCGAGUUUGUUUAUCUCACGUAUAUAUAGCUAACAACUUAGCUAAAGUUAAGAUAGCAAAACCGCAACAUUUCACAGAUGACAGAGACCUCAGUGGACCCACACGAGAGCUCAGGAACAGCAGAGAGCAGGGACUUCUCUCAUCACCUGGAAAGAAACUAGCUGACCAGAACCCAUAAGAAACAGCUACAAAAGAGCUGUUCAUGCUACAGUGGCUGUGCUGUGGAUACUGUGCCAGGUGUCAACAUGCAUGGAUCAGACCACAAAUACCAGCUGUUACUGCUACAGUGGCGGUGAUGUGGAUGCUGUGCCAGUUGUCAACAUGCAUGGACCAGACCACUAAUACCAGGUGUUAAUGCCACAGUGGCUAAUGCAGAUGCUGUGCCAAAUGCCAGCAUGGAUCUGCCGGAUCACUAACCGCAUGUAGGUGUCUACAUCAGAUUGGGGAGUUGGACACUGUGUAUGCCUGAUGUACAUCAGAAGGCUUUCCAGGCAGGCUGACCUGACCAAUUGGAGCUCAGUCCAAAGGCCUUGACGGUACUUAAGUACAUAUGGUAGGGCCAUCUGUGCUGCCCAGGGCGGAGGGGACACUAGGACCUUCCAGCAUAUACCCGCCUCUAUGAUGAUGAAAGUACCGUAGCCACUUUAAAUCACAGUAACUUGCUGUGUCCACAGUCCACACCGCCCAGAAAAGCUUUACAGCUAUAAGCUACAGGAGAGUGGCAAGACUUCCAAGUUCUAGAAAAAAAUAAGAAAUAAAAAAUGAAAUAAAAUACACACUAUACCUCUACAAAACAAAAGACUUAAGGUGAUGUUUGUUUGAAAAGGGAAGAUAUGUCCAAGGUAAGGCAAACAGAGCGUUUUUACAAAGCCCAUUUCCCUUGGCUGUCCAAUGGUUCAUUUGCACUUAAAUGGGAAGUGAGGGAAUUCACCACAUAACCAUCAAUCACACAGUCUGUCUCAAAUACACCCACGUCCCCUGGACAAAAGAAAAUGGAUGGAACCAUGGAUUCAAAUUAAACUAGUACAAUAUAGGCAUAAUUAUCGAAUGUCAGACACAUGCAAUCAGGAACACGCAGGAAAUCUCUUCAAUUUAGUGCAGCUUUCUCUACUUCUCAGUCUUGACUAUGUCCUUGUCUCUGGGUCUUUCACUGUAUAACGCUUCAUUAGACCCUUAACUUAACGGUGAACAUUUGCCAUUAGUCUGCAGUAAACUAAUUGCAGUGCAGACCUUAAAACAGGCCUACAGGCCUUUCUUUUCAGCACUAGGCUGUACUGUACGUAGUCCACUGAUGAAUGUAAACGCAAGGAAACUGACUGCCAACGUAAUGGUGGUGGUAAUACUGAGCAGUGAUGAAAGUGGGUGAGUAUAACACAGAAACACCUGCAACAUUCAAUGAUGUGUGGAAAGGUAGUACACUUGAUUAUAAUAUGUGGUGUUGUGUGCCAUCGUCACUAACAGAAAAAAUAACAAAAUGGCUGAAGAGCUACAGCAAUGGGAUCUAAAAUGUACACAGUGUUAGUCAGCGUGCUCACUCACCCAUCUUGUACCUUGUAGGCAUUUCUUUUCAGUUGAAAAAGUAAGGAGGGAAAAUGUUCCAAUGAAGAAAAUCUGAGUGUUUCAGACAAAUUAGAUAUUUUUUGACAAAUACUGAUAUAUGUUUUGAACAGGACAGCAUGACCUGCCCCUUUUGGUGAAACAAACCUGACUACUUACAAUAAGGCAAAUCAACAAAGAAUUAAAGGAGAACAUUAAACAAAAUUCCUCAAUACACUGAUCAUCUAUGAAAAGAUCUGGAAUAGUAUGCUUCCCUCUUCAGAGAUAUUGAUGAAUCAAUUAAACACACAUUUGAUCAUUUUCAUGGACUCAUUAAAAUGUCAUUGUUUCAAGUGCAGCCACAUAAAAAUGAUGAAUUUAAAAAAAGAAAUCCUCAAGAUUUAACAUUGUCACCAAUAUCACAUAGCAAUUUAUGACACACACAGGGAUGAUUAAGUGAAGCCCUAAAAGUACAUUAAAAUUACAGUUCACAUUUCUUUGUACAGACUAUUCAUAAAACCCUAUAAAUUCAUACCAUUCAGACAGAGAUUCAGUAAUCCAGCUGUAUGCAUUGUAGCCAAGGCAAAAUGGCUGAGGGAGAUUUCUGAUCGCUUCAUAGCAUGAAGAGGAUACAUCCUUCCUUUCAACGAACGAGAAGGGAAUCAUAUUCUAUGCUGGAAAUACUGACCAUAUCUUCAAAAAAUGUAAAUGUUUCUUCUGAGUCAGAAUGGUUAAGAUUUGUGUUGCUGUAAUGACUUAAAAAAUACUCACAAAAAAAGAGAAAAAAAGGACACUUGAUGGAUGAAAUAAAAGUGCUUGAAUCUAAACCUUGCACUCUUCAAAGACAAAAAGCACUUGAGUCUAGUAAGGGAAAAUCAUAAAUGUCACCUCAGCAUUAGAGGUCAGUCAUGCAUGUCUGAGCACAGUAAGAAAAAUCGCAUCUCUACCGAGAAGAAAGAAAGAAAGAAAGAAUCGAACGAAAAAGAAAGAGACAGAAUGAAAGAAAGGUCAUGACAGAAAUUCCAAAUUCAUCGCAAGCCACUUUCUCACGCCUCUCACGCCCGCCAGUAGCACAAGCAGUAAGGCUCCAGAGGACCAUGUGAUAAAAAUGGCGCCCCGUGUGGGCAGCUCUAGUAACUGAAUGCAGUCCAUGAGGGGAGCAGUGGAAGUGAACGCAGUGACCGGCUGCACUGCACUGACGUGUCUCUCAGGCAGGGCCGCUGACAGCUUUGGCCGGGCCCAGGCUGUGCUGGGCCCCCUCUCUACCCGGGCCUGGGACAACUGACCCCAGAAUAUGUGAGUGUGUGUGUGUGUUUCAUCAGAGAGAGAGAGAGAGAGAGAGAGAGAGAGGUGGAGGGGAGCUAUCUGAGCUGUCAGAUGACAGUCACUGUAAACACAUACAAAAUUAAAAGAAUGUUAAACUUUGCACAAACAAAAUCUCUGCCCAUCUCUUACCCUAACCAUAACAAAGCAAUAUUUGUGCACAAUGCAAUUUGUCUAGUUAAGACCUCACUGCACCUCCCACAAAUAUGUUUUUUUCAUCUUAAUAGGGGACUUUUCAGGCCGUGGCCAACCGGUAGGGCACUCUUCUGCCAUGCGGCCGACCCGGUUCGAUUCCCGGCCCGGGUCGUUUGCCGACCCCUCCCCGUCUCUCUCCCCAUUCGCUUCCUGUCCACCUCUCACACUGUCCUAUCAUCAAUAAAGCCGUAAAAUACCUAAAAAAUAAAAUAAUGACUUUUGUACCUCAUAUGUGCCCAAAAUAUAUAGGUACAAACACACACUGUACAGUAAAACAUACUGUACGUAGGGAGGGUAGACAUGUCGUGCACUCACAGAUAAGGUUUGGUCUCUAAGACGAAAGUUGGAUUUUGAUGUCAGUCUAAGGUGCAUUAUUUAAGAGUAUGACCUCUUAACCUCGUUCUUAUUAUUGUCAAAUCAUCAGUGGUCAUCACAUUUGGAGAUAUUGCAAAAGUUUGACCUAAUGGCCUCAUCACUAUGCAGUUCAAGUCAUUUGAGUGUUGUUCCUUGAUUAUUUCUUUUUCAACAGUACAAAAAAUAUUAAAAAUCCUACAUUCACAAAUUAAAAAUGGAUAAGGUAGGGGCUGCCAAAUUAUGUUCGGUAAUAAUAUGUACUUAAACGGUCUCCUAGUAACAGACCUCUGAUGAACAGGGUUUUUUCUCCCGUGUUGCUUCUCUGUGAGUGCAGAGCAUAUGCAGUAGACAGGUGGACAGCUGCAAGAGGAGAGAAGGAGGAGGAAGAGAAGAGAGAAAAGGGACGAGAGAAGGGAGAGAGAAUGGGUGAGGAAGAGGAAAAGGAAAAGGAAAGAGGCAGGCCACCCAGCAGGAGAGAAGGAGGAGGAAGAGAGAAGAGAGAAGGGAGAGAGAAUGGGUGAGGAAGAGGAAAAGUAAAAGUAAAAGGGAAGAGGCAGGCCAGGCCACCCAGCAGGAGAGCCUGAGUGCACCCUCCCUCCGCUCGGAGAGCUGGGGAGAUGAUUAAUCACGCCGCCUGUCCACAAGCACCUUCUGGAUCUGGACACACUGGCCCCCACUGCUGCUAUAGGCAGGGAAGCCGAUAGGGGGCGACAAAGGGGUCAGUUGGCCCGGGCCCAGGAAGAGAAGGGCCCCAGAAUUGGGUCCCCAUUAUAUUCUAUGUAUUAGGUAGGGGGGCCCUUUCCGAUAACUUCGUCCUGGGCCCAGCCAAAGCUGUCAGCGGCCUUGGCUAUAGGCGUCUCGCAUGAGUUCCCGGAUAGGAGGGGAGAGGAGAGGGGAGCUGGCCUCACCAGGUACGACUUGCUGAUUAUUUCAAGCACGCGUCAAGGGGAGAUGACAAGCCAGUGAUGACAACCAGGGAGCGAAAUCUGCAAAAUUGCCCCAAGGAUGAAUGAAUAAGUAAUUGUUUCCAAAUUCUUAAAAUGUGGCCCCAAAAUGGGACUGUGAUCGUGUUUUGUAAUUAAUCAGUCAAAGUCGUCUUUCUCUCCCUCCCACGUAAUUAGUUUGAAGACUGAGAAUGUCUAAUUAGAGAUUUCAGGGGAGGAUAGAGCCUAACUGACUUGGAAAUGAUCAAAUGAAAGGCAAUCAUCUGCAGACAGGAAAAGUAGCAUGGGCAGUCGGUCCUCUAGACAGUUGGUCUUAAUGGACCUUGUGUCACGUCAAAUGACAGCUGGAUAACAACAAUAUGAAGACAGACAGACAAACAAACAAACAAACAAAAAAUCAAAGAGAAAGUAGGGAGAUAAAGACAGUAAAAAGAGGGUCUGAUGAUUUGAGUACACAAGGAAAUCAAACAGAAAGGCGUGGCUCAGAAGAUCCCACAGAAGCCAGGAGAAGUGUAUGGUACUGCAGAGUAUUUGCAGCGGCUACAUGUCAUCCAGGCACAAGUGCAUCAAUUGGCUACCAGUUACUGAAUUGGCAUGUGGGAUCAUAGGGGCGCAUGUUUGAAUCCUGCAUAACUGCCAAAAAAGGGACAGGGGAAUAAAUAACUAUUACUCUCCUUCACUGUCAUUUACAGCAUGGGCAAUAUUCCCUUGCUUCAGAGACUAUGCCCUGCACUGCACCGACAUAACUGUUGGCCACACCACAACACCACGUAGAUGUGACUUGAGAUCCAUUGUGGUGGUAGUGGUCUUCACCCUCUGUCUAAUGGGGCUGCCUGCACUCUGCACCCACUUAGCCCCAUAGUGUACACGUUAGUGGUGCUGAUGACACAGAGAUGGCCAGUGGACCGCACUCUGAUGCAUUUACUCCCUGUGGAGUACCAUGUGUGGUAACUGCAAUGAUGGGGGAGAAAGUGGGGGAUUUUAGUCAUCCAGGACACAUUGUUCUUCAGAUAAGUGCCGGACAUCAUCACUACAUUGCUAAUAAUCACAGCAGGUGAAGGGACGGAAGAGCAAUCUCAAAUGUGACAGUGACGAGGAGAUGUGAACUGAAAAUGACUAAUUUCGUUCUUAUUUCUGUCUUAUAAAGUACAGCGAUUCCAACAUCUGACAUCCCUAUUCUUUGUUGUCUUUUAGUUUACGUGUGUGUGUGUGUGUCUGUGUCUGUGUCUGUGUGUGUGUGUGUUAGUUUGUACCUGUGUUCAUGCAUGCAGAGUCUGCAUUGCAGACAUUUGUGCCCGACAAUUUAGUGAGGGUUAAAAGGGUAGAUGAAGGAUUUUGUCAACGGCAAAACAAUAUUAAACUUUUGAUCCAUACGACGCAUUGAUUGCUACAGAAAAUAAGCAUCUGCCAGAAACAGUCUGAUCAGCUAUAAAAAAAAAUGACUGUAGCUCAGACUAUCUCUGUGAAUUUGUUGUGCAUCACAAGGAAAUUCAAGAAAGCUGUGAGUUCAUUUUUCUUAUAACAGAGAGAGAGAGAGAGAGAGUGAAAUCGAGAUCGCACGCGAGAGAGAGAGAGAGAGAGCAUGUGUGAGAGAAACUGAGAGAAGAAAGUGCAAGAGAAAAAAGCAAAAGAGUGAGAGAGAGAGAAAAAUCUAUGAUUUACGAUUGCACUAGCUCGUCAUCUUGUGAAUGUCAAGCAGCAGCCUCUCCUCUCUGCUUGAUGGCCUUUCGCUUGAGAGACCUUCCUGAGGCUGCUGCUGCGGUGCAAAAAAAAGAAAAUCGACAGCUGGACAGUGUACAAAAUAUGAACAUUCACAAGGUUACCGCCUUGCUCCUGCACACUCCUGUUGCAUCAACAAGCAUUACUUGUCCAACAGAGUGCAUCCAUCUAAAUACACUGGUGGUUGAAAGUCCGCUGGAGGGAGUCGGAUGUGCCAAUACAGAGAGAUCAACGGCGUCAAUCCUCUUCCUACCACAAACAGGGCCAGUGGUUCAGAACUCGAACAAGGUCAGGGACCCGACAGACACUCUUCACAGCAUAGGUGCUUUAAAAAGUCACACAUACAGUACAGGCUGUCCUGCACUCGCAGUGUUUCCUUUCUCAAAGGAAUGCAUGCAGCUACUGUAGAAGAAACUGUCUUGAGUGCUACAGCUCAGAGCUUAAGAGCACUCUGUAGGCUACUGUACAUACAUACUGUAGACAGAGGAUGGUCAUGAUUGUUGUCAGUAUGAAUGCACGUGUGUGAUUGUGUG